rfam:Triticum aestivum genome assembly, contig: Triticum_aestivum_CS42_TGACv1_scaffold_222396_3B
UUGAUGUAAGUGAGGAAACAAGUUUUAUGGGUAAUUUGCGUCUAGGGCGUCUUUGUGAUGUGACUCUUUUCACCUUGGAUAUCUGAUGCAUCCU